AUGUGGCCAUUGUUUAUUGCGUUUUGAAGAGCACUCGCUUCGUCUUUCCAACAAGACGCAUAGGUUCGGCACUCCGAUUAGCAUUUAAAGUGAGCUUUCGAUAGCCUAACUUUAUCCAUUUACGCGCUGUAUAUGCGUUGUGACGCCUUUCACUAGUUUGCGACGACGCAGAGUAUAACAGCGGAGUCCCGCUGUUUACCUUUAACAUGAUAAAUGAAGCAAAACCUCGGUAGUGCAUCGUAAUUUUUUUUCUAAACAUAAUGCAGCCACCACUCGCACCGUUAAAGCAUGACUGUUAAGAAGCAUUUGCAGCAGCUCAUUUGUCACUACGUUGGAGCGAGAAUAUUGCUCAUCUGCCGCUUUACCUUUCUUUACUGCUCCGUAUUUUUGUGUAUCCGGAUAUUUUAAUUUUAUGCAAACCACCCCUUCCGUGUGAAAAAGAAAAGAAUUUAAGGAAAGGAAGAUGCAACAGUUGCAAGGAAGGUGCAACAGUUGUGUGAAAUAAAUAGUGCUUUACCAACAUCUGUAGUGACCUGGUGAUCGUGCGCCUUGGGCGAAUUCAUUUUGUGUAAAAAUGUGCUCCGGCUACUUAAAAGCUGUCGUCUUCUCGGAAGCAGGCACUGAUCCUUGGAGACCUGCAGAGCGCAAACUGCAGCAUGUAUGCCGAAAUAAACAGCUAUUGCCUAUUUCAAA
rnacentral:lncRNA from 1 species